AGUGAACGCUGGCGGCGUGCUUAACACAUGCAAGUCGAACGAGAACGGGUUAUAGCUUGCUAUAACUGUCAGCUAAGUGGCGCACGGGUGAGUAAUAUAUAGUUAAUCUGCCCUAGAGAAAGGGAUAACGUUUGGAAACGAACGCUAACACCUUAUAUGCCUUUAAGUCUUAAGACUGCAAGGGAAACAUUUAUGGCUCUAGGAUGAGACUGUACGGUAUCAGUUAGUUGGUGAGGUAAUGGCUCACCAAGACAAUGACGCCUAACUGGUUUGAGAGGAUGAUCAGUCACACUGGAACUGAGACACGGUCCAG
rnacentral:rRNA from 1 species